rnacentral:lncRNA from 1 species
UCAGUAGCAGAGCAAAGCCUCUACUUGAAAAAAACCACGUAGCUGAUUGGGUUUUACAAGAGUGCAUUUGUCUCCCCCUUCCACCCCCCCACCUUCAGGUCUUAGUGGUUCACAAGAGCCCAGCAGCCAGGCUGGCUUUUUCAUUGUAGGGCGUGGUUGUCCCAGCUGGUGUAGAUUUCAGGCCGCCUCCCCCCAUCUCCCUGCCCACAGUGUUGCAGAUUGCCUGGCUGGCAGCAAGUCCAGACCACCCAAAUUUGGUUGGAUUCUUCAUUUCUCCACUGUAGUUGGGGUCCAUUGAUUGUGCAGGGGAACGUGCAGGAGGUUUUUCUAGGCACUGCGUUCAGUGCUGCUUCACUCUACCAGAGAUUAUGGCCAAAUUGCACGGAAUUUGGUUUCUUGCCCUCUGAAGCCUGAGGGCCCCCCCUUGCCUGGCUGGUUGACAGACCCGGGGUGCUCACUGCUGAGACUUCAGAGAUCGCAGCUGCUGUGAGAAUACGGUGAAGGUACUAUGUUCUGGAAGAUGUUGUCAUACACUUUUCCCCAGUUAUUUUCAAACUUGACAUGAGCCUAUGUUGACUCACUGGGUGGGGUCCCUUCUUACGCAGCACACGUGGCAAGUGCCUGAAUCGGGGCUGGAGGCACUUCAGAGCCUCUGAGGGGCCACCACUUCUGGCCCAAAAUUGCAGGGUUGUAGAUGAGGCUGCCUGUGGAGAACUGGUGUGAGGAGGAAGCUGUUUCCAACAAAGAGCACUUUCAUCUGUUGAGAUGGCUGUGGUGAGCAACUGAACGAGCCUACGUGUGUACCUGAAUUUUCCCCAUAACUCAUUU